GAUGAACGCUAGCUACAGGCUUAACACAUGCAAGUCGAGGGGUAACGAGAGGAAAGCUUGCUUUCCUUGUCGACGACCGGCGCACGGGUGUGUAACGCGUAUCCAACCUGCCCCCAACUAGGGAAUAACCUUGCGAAAGUAAGACUAAUACCCUAUAAUUUCCUCAGAUGACAUCUGACGAGGAAUAAAGAUUUAUCGGUUGUGGAUGGGGAUGCGUCUGAUUAGCUUGUUGGCGGGGUAAAGGCCCACCAAGGCAACGAUCAGUAGGGGUUCUGAGAGGAAGGUCCCACACAGUGGAAGUGAGACACGGUCCAAACUCCUACGGGAGGCAGCAGUGGGGAAUAUUGGUCAAUGGGCGGAAGCCUGAACCAGCCAAGUAGCGUGCAGGAUGACGGCCCUAUGGGUUGUAAACUGCUUUUAUACAGGAAUAAAGUUAGCCACGUGUGGUUAUUUGUAGGUACUGUAUGAAUAAGGACCGGCUAAUUCCGUGCCAGCCGCCGCAGUAAUAC
rnacentral:rRNA from 1 species